rnacentral:rRNA from 1 species
AGAGUUUGAUCAUGGCUCAGAAUCAACGCUGGCGGCGUGCCUCAGACAUGCAAGUCGAACGAUUAAAGCCCUCUUCGGAGGGUGUAUAAAGUGGCGCACGGGUGAGUAACACGUAAGUAAUCUACCCUCGGGUGGGGAAUAACAACCGGAAACGGUUGCUAAUACCGCAUAAUGCAGCGGCUCCUUAUGGAGACAGUUGUUAAAGGAUUUAUUCGCCUGAGGAGGAGCUUGCGGCAAAUUAGCUAGUUGGUAAGGUAAUGGCUUACCAAGGCUACGAUCUGUAGCCGGUCUAAGAGGACGGUCGGUCACACUGACACUGAAUAACGGGUCAGACUCCUACGGGAGGCAGCAGUCGGGAAUUUUGGGCAAUGGGCGAAAGCCUGACCCAGCAACGCCGCGUGAAGGAUGAAGUAUUUCGGUAUGUAAACUUCGAAAGAAUAGGAAGAAUUAAUGACGGUACUAUUUAUAAGGUCCGGCUAACUACGUGCCAGCAGCCGCGGUAAUACGUAGGGACCAAGCGUUGUUCGGAUUUACUGGGCGUAAAGGGCGCGUAGGCGGCAUGACAAGUCACUUGUGAAAUCUCUGGGCUUAACUCAGAACGGCCAAGUGAUACUGUCGCGCUAGAGUGCAGAAAGGGCAAUCGGAAUUCUUGGUGUAGCGGUGGAAUGCGUAGAUAUCAAGAGGAACACCUGAGGCGAAGGCGG